UGAAUAAGCCUCUGAUUUCAUUUUUCUAUCUUUGCUGCAGAAAUUAAGUAAAUUGGAUAUGUUGUGGGCAGUAGCAGUUACAGACUAAAGUCUGGUUUUACUGCAAAUGAUUUUGAAUGGCUUAUUUUUAAGUAGCUGUCUGGGAGUUGAUAGUGAGUAUGUCUUAAGCAGGAGGCUGUCAAAGCUACUGUAGGUUGUUGAGCUUGUCUAGAGAAAUGCUGUAAUCUAGGCUCUCAUUCCUGUGACUGUUCAAGACUUCACUGUACUCCGCAUUCUUCUAAGAAAGGCAUUAUUGUUCACCUGGCCUUGGCUUCUUUGGAAACCAAUUUUUCAGGCCGUAUAGUGGUGUGAGUACAAAAAAUGUGUUUUAUUCUUGUGGAACUGAUAUUUCUUUUCCU